AUUCCUAGUUCUUCUAUAGAUAUCUAAUAUAGAGUUAUCGUUUUGUCUCUUGUUUAUAGGAAAAGAAUGUGAAAAUGGAACAUAUCUUGAGGGCAAAUUACAACCCAGGGUCGAUGACUAAGUUUUACAUUACGUUUGCUGCAAGAGAGUUCGAGUCUCCAGAUGCACCUUUAGUGGAGUAUCAAGCUAAAGCGGUAUGGUCUGUAACCCACAAAAUUUAUCCCAUCCUUUGCAGGCCAAGUCCCGCACCUACAAGGGCCAUGGACGAGAUCAUUUGAAAGAGGUAGCCAAGGUGAUGGAAGAGUCUGGAAGAGAUCAGUUGAAGAGCUUCACUGGGAAACUUGUUUAUCCGGUUGUAAUGUUAUUAGUAGACUUAGGUUAUUGGGAACUUUAAUUUGCACUGUAUUCUAUGUUGAAGACUAGUGUGUAUCAAGAACCCGUACUCGACAAUGCAGUGUUGAAUGCGAAUGGUUUGUGAAUCCUGAAUUUUGCAAUCUUGUUCUGUUGUCCAGCCAGUUUGUUUUUGCCUAGGUAUAUCUGUUUAUCACUCGGGGGAAAAAGAGUUAAAACUAACUAAGGUUUAGAAAAGAGAUACCAUCUUUUUUUUUUU